UCUAUUAGGUUGGUGCAAAAGUAAUUGCUGUUUUUUCAUUAGUUUAACAGUGGCAAAAAUAGCAAUUACUUUUGCACCAACCUAAUA
rnacentral:miRNA from 1 species